rnacentral:rRNA from 1 species
GAUGAACGCUGACAGAAUGCUUAACACAUGCAAGUCAACUUGAACUUCGGUUUGGGUGGCGGACGGGUGAGUAACGCGUAAAGAACUUGCCUCACAGAUAGGGACAACAUUUGGAAACGAAUGCUAAUACCUGAUAUUAUGAUUUUAGGGCAUCCUAGAAUUAUGAAAGCUAUAUGCGCUGUGAGAGAGCUUUGCGUCCCAUUAGCUAGUUGGAGAGGUAACGGCUCACCAAGGCGAUGAUGGGUAGCCGGCCUGAGAGGGUGAUCGGCCACAAGGGGACUGAGACACGGCCCUUACUCCUACGGGAGGCAGCAGUGGGGAAUAUUGGACAAUGGACCAAGAGUCUGAUCCAGCAAUUCUGUGUGCACGAUGAAGUUUUUCGGAAUGUAAAGUGCUUUCAGUUGGGAAGAAAAAAAUGACGGUACCAACAGAAGAAGUGACGGCUAAAUACGUGCCAGCAGCCGCGGUAAUACGUAUGUCACAAGCGUUAUCCGGAUUUAUUGGGCGUAAAGCGCGUCUAGGUGGUUAUAUAAGUCUGAUGUGAAAAUGCAGGGCUCAACUCUGUAUUGCGUUGGAAACUGUGUAACUAGAGUACUGGAGAGGUAAGCGGAACUACAAGUGUAGAGGUGAAAUUCGUAGAUAUUUUGUAGGAAUGCCGAUGGGGGGAAGCCAGCUUUACUGGACAGAUACUGACGCUGAAGCGCGAAAGCGUGGGUAGCAAACAGGAUAAGAUACCCUGGAAGUCCAAGGGCGAAUUUCACAGUGGGAUAUCAAGCUUAUCGAGACCGCCGACCUCCACGGGGGGGUCUGGUUAUCCAAAAAAUAUUAUUUUUAGAGGGGGUUAUUUAGGGCUUGGGUGGGGGGGUGUGUUUUUUGUUUGUUUUGUUUUGUG